GUGCCAGCAGCCGCGGUAAUACCGGCAGCCCGAGUGAUGACCGAUCUUAUUGGGCCUAAAGCGUCCGUAGCUGGCCACGCAAGUCCGUCGGGAAAUCCACUCGCCCAACGAGUGGGCGUCCGACGGAAACUGCACAGCUUGGGGCCGGAAGGCUCGAAGGGUACGUUCGGGGUAGGAGUGAAAUCCCGUAAUCCUGGACGGACCACCGAUGGCGAAAGCACUUCGAGAAAACGGAUCCGACAGUGAGGGACGAAAGCCAGGGUCUCCAACCGGAUUAGAAACACGAGUAGUCC
rnacentral:rRNA from 1 species